GAUGAACGCUGGCGGCGUGCCUAAUACAUGCAAGUCGAGCGAACAGACGAGGAGCUUGCUCCUCUGACGUUAGCGGCGGACGGGUGAGUAACACGUGGAUAACCUACCUAUAAGACUGGGAUAACUUCGGGAAACCGGAGCUAAUACCGGAUAAUAUAUUGAACCGCAUGGUUCAAUAGUGAAAGACGGUUUUGCUGUCACUUAUAGAUGGAUCCGCGCCGCAUUAGCUAGUUGGUAAGGUAACGGCUUACCAAGGCGACGAUGCGUAGCCGACCUGAGAGGGUGGGAGGCCCCAGGGGAACGGAGACGCGUCCCGGCCUACUGGGGGAGGCACCAGGGGGGAUUCUCCGGAAAGGGGGGAAGUCCGAACGGGGCACCGCGGGGGGAGUAAUAAGGUUGUCGGGAUCUAAAACUUUUUUAUUUGGGAAAAAAAAAUUUUGAAAUAAACUAGGCAGGUUUUGAGGGUACUUAAUAAGAAACCCAGGCCAAACUCGGUC
rnacentral:rRNA from 1 species